GAUGAAGAACGCAGCGAAAUGCGAUACUUGGUGUGAAUUGCAGAAUCCCGUGAACCAUCGAGUCUUUGAACGCAAGUUGCGCCCGAAGCCAUUAGGCCGAGGGCACGCCUGCCUGGGCGUCACACGUCGUUGCCCCCCCAUCUACUCCUUCGGGAUUGCGGGGGGCGGAUGAUGGCCUCCCGUGCGCCUCGUCGCGCGGUUGGCAUAAAUGCCAAGUCCUCGGCGACACACGCCACGACAAUCGGUGGUUGCGAAACCUCGGUUGCCCGUCGUGUGCGGUCGUCGCGCAUCGAGGGCUCGAAAAAAUUGCCGGGCUCCGGCUCGGCUUUCAACGCGACCCCAGGUCAGGCGGGGUUACCCGCUGAGUUUAAGCAUAUCAAUAAGCGGAGGA
rnacentral:misc_RNA from 1 species